UUUGUCCCAGGAGGUGGAGUGGGGCAGACACAAAGGAUUGCCUCUGGAUGGGCCUGUGCAUGAGCACAUCCAUACCUACACACCAUCUUGGGGUUCACAGACCUCCAGUCGAACUUCACUUGUGUUGUGUGACCUUGCCUGAGAUGGCUGCUCUUUUCCAGCCUUAGCCUUUCAUCUGUGCACUGUAGAUCUGAUGAACAUGAGACGGGCAAACUUGCAGGAUCCCAGUCACACAGAAGGUAAUACAUGAUUAAAUCCGAGGCCCAGGCUACUCCUUUCCCCACUUUGGCUAUGCAAAGAAGAAGACAACUCAAGAGGAUGGAAGACUCCUGUUACCUUGGUGUGGCAAGAGAAGGGGCAUCUUGCUUGGGUGCUUAUGGCUUUGGCUGACCUCCUUUUAGCCGUUACUGGAGGAUGUUUUCUGCUGCAUUCUCAUCUCUAACUGUGCCUACCUCAUCUACCUGUGCAGCCACAGUCAACCGUCCCCUGAGUAAGCUGUGUUCAUGAUCAGAGGCGUCUUCAUUUCAUCAGAGACACUGCAUGCUUAAUGUGAAGGCUUGGGCUGUGGAGAUUCCAUCAACAAACACCAACUAAUUAAGCAACUGAGCAAACAGGAUUCUCUGCUUCUCUUAGAGAAUUAGGCCAAGGCAAACUGUGACAUCAAGCGUGUUUCUUGGUGGUGUACUCUCUGGGGUGUAUUCUGCUCCUUUUUCUCUUUUGAUAACAUUAUACAAUCCAAUCGCUCAGCUUCCUCCUGUAGUUGGCGUCCUACCUUCUAACCAUUUUCCAUCCAAGAGGACAGUCCCCCACUUUUCCUGAGGAGUCCUAUUUAUACACAGCUUGGUGCUAUUUUCUGUGACUCUGUUUUGAGAAGCUCAAAUCCUUGCUCUUGGGUAUGUCUUCCUUCUCCUGAGUGCCUUUGUCUUCCUCUUAACUCUUGUGCUUAAGCCUAUGUUAAUAUUAUAAUAUAUCAUGAAA